rnacentral:rRNA from 1 species
GUCACAGUUGGAAUUCAUUUUCUGAUAAUGAUUCAAGUCUUCGUUUACUUUGAGAAAAUUUGAGUGUUCAAAACAGUGUUACGGCUGUAUAUUAAAGCAUGGAAUGAUACAUAAUGACAUUGGUUAAUUUUGGUUGGUUUGAGUGGCUGCUGUAAUGAUUUAUAGAGUUAGUUGGAGGUAUUAGUAUUUUUUCGUUAGAAGUGAAAUUCUGGGAUCGAAAAAAGACGAACAACUGCGAAAGCAUUUGCCUAGUAUUUGCUCUUUGAUCAAGAACGUAAGUUGGGGGAUCGAAGACGAUCAGAUACCGUCGUAGUCUCAACUUUAAACAAUAUCAACUAGGGGUUGGCAAAUGUUUAUAUGACUUUGUCAUAACCGUGGGAGAAAUCAAAGUGUUUGGGUUCCGGGGGGAGUAUGGUCGCAAGGCUUAAACUUAAAGGUAUUGACGGAAGGGCACCACAAGAUGUGGAUCCUGUGGCUUAAUUUGACUCAACACA